GUGCCCGUAGCUCAAACUGGAUAGAGCACCAGCCUUCUAAGCUGGGGGUUGUGGGUUCGACUCCCGCCGGGCGCGCCA
rnacentral:tRNA from 2 species